rnacentral:rRNA from 1 species
UCCGUAGGCGGUGUGGCAAGUCGGAAGUGAAAUCUCUGGGCUUAACCCAGAGACUGCUUCCGAAACUGCCGUGCUAGAGUGCGAGAGAGGCGAGUGGAAUUGCGGGUGUAGCGGUGAAAUGCGUAGAUAUCCGCAGGAACAUCCGAGGCGAAAGCGGCUCGCUGGAUCGCAACUGACGCUGAGGGACGAAAGCUAGGGGAGCAAACAGGAUUAGAUACCCUGGUAGUCCUAGCCCUAAACCAUCAGGACUUGGGGUUUGCCCUGUACGGGGCAAGUCCCGUAGCUAACGCGUUAAGUCCUGCGCCUGGGGAGUACGGUCGCAAGGCUGAA